ensembl:lncRNA
AUGGUGGUUCCUCAGCAUUGUUCCUGUAGUUACAAAUCUACAACAGAAAAGUUGACGAGAAAUUUACAGACUGGAAUCAGACAUGCUGCCGGAGUGUGGUUGUCAGUCAGUGGUGUACAGACCGAUUUCUCGGUAAUUAACGCGGUGCUGAAAUUGGAGAGAUGUGGAGGUGGUGAAUUUGCUCCGCACCCGCCAAUCUGCCUGUCAGAGGGAUGCUGAAAAAUUUCGGUUUGAGAAAGAUAUGAAAUGAAGAAUAUCUUACGUGUCUUUGCUGAUGCGCUUCGGAGGAUGCUUCGCUGGAGAUGACAGCCCGUCUUCUUCUCGCCAUGUGCUGUAACAAAAGCAUCCCAUGCAUCCGAAGCCUGUCCCUUUAAAGCCUUGCUGCAUCCCUGCAGGUGGCCUGUCAAUUUAGCGGAUCCGAAUGACGUCACUGCAUGGCUGGAAAAGCUGUAAGUCAACUUUCACAAUAAAAGUCAUUCGCGA